rnacentral:rRNA from 1 species
GGGUGCGAUCAUACCAGCACUAAUGCUCCGGAUCCCAUCAGAACUCCGCAGCUAAGCGUGCUUGGGCGAGAGUAGUACUAGGAUGGGUGACCUCCUGGGAAGUCCUCGUGUUGCACCCC